rnacentral:misc_RNA from 1 species
UUAAGUUCAGCGGGUAGUCCUACCUGAUUUGAGGUCAAAUGGUCAUGUAUUGUCUGAAUGAACAGACGGUUGGAAGCAGCGCAAACCCAUAUGAUUGCAGAUGUCCACGGCGUAGAUAAUUAUCACACCAAUAGACAGUCCACACGGGGCACCGGCUAAUGCAUUUAAGGGGAGCUGACCAUCUGUGAAGAAGCCGGCAA